UACAGAGGGUGCAAGCGUUGUUCGGAAUUAUUGGGCGUAAAGCGCGUGUAGGCGGCUCGUUAUGUCGGGUGUGAAAGCCCUCAGCUUAACUGAGGAAGUGCGCCCGAAACUGGCGAGCUUGAGUGUCGGAGAGGAUAGCGGAAUACCCGGUGUAGAGGUGAAAUUCGUAGAUAUCGGGUGGAACACCAGUGGCGAAGGCGGCUAUCUGGACGACAACUGACGCUGAGACGCGAAAGCGUGGGGAGCAAACAGG
rnacentral:rRNA from 1 species